UACAGAGGGUGCAAGCGUUAAUCGGAAUUACUGGGCGUAAAGCGUGCGCAGGCGGUUGUGUAAGACAGAUGUGAAAUCCCCGGGCUUAACCUGGGAACUGCAUUUGUGACUGCACGGCUGGAGUGCGGCAGAGGGGGAUGGAAUUCCGCGUGUAGCAGUGAAAUGCGUAGAUAUGCGGAGGAACACCGAUGGCGAAGGCAAUCCCCUGGGCCUGCACUGACGCUCAUGCACGAAAGCGUGGGGAGCAAACAGG
rnacentral:rRNA from 1 species